UCCUGGUGGCUCAGAUGAUAAAGAACCUGCCUGCAAAGCAGGAGACUCAGGUACAAACCCUGGUUCAGGAA
rnacentral:tRNA from 1 species